rnacentral:rRNA from 1 species
GUCGAACGGACCGUAUACGCAGCUUGCUGCGUGUAUGGUUAGUGGCAGACGGGUGAGUAAUGCAUAGGAAUCUACCUAGUAGUAUGGGAUAGCCACUAGAAAUGGUGGGUAAUACUGUAUAAUCCCUGCGGGGGAAAGAUUUAUCGCUAUUAGAUGAGCCUAUGUCAGAUUAGCUAGUUGGUGGGGUAAUGGCCUACCAAGGCGGUGAUCUGUAGCUGGUCUGAGAGGAUGAUCAGCCACACUGGAACUGAGACACGGUCCAGACUCCUACGGGAGGCAGCAGUGGGGAAUAUUGGACAAUGGGCGCAAGCCUGAUCCAGCUAUGCCGCGUGAGUGAGGAAGGCCUUAGGGUUGUAAAACUCUUUCAGUAGGGAAGAUAAUGACGGUACCUACAGAAGAAGUCCCGGCAAACUC